AUCGGGAGAGGUCAGAGGUACUCCUGGGUAGGGGGUGAAAUCCUGUAAUCCUAGGAGGACCACCUGUGGCGAAGGCGUCUGACUAGAACGAAUCUGACGGUGAGGAACGAAAGCUAGGGGCGCGAACCGGAUUAGAUACCCGGGUAGUCCUAGCCGUAAACUAUGCGGACUUGGUGUGAGGGUGGCUUUGAGCCGUCCUGGUGCCGAAGGGAAGCUGUUAAGUCCGCCGCCUGGGAAGUACGGUCGCAAGACUGAAACUUAAGGAAUUGGCGGGGAGCACCACAACGCGUGGAGCCUCGCGGUUUAAUUGGAUUCAACGCCGGAGAUCUCACCAGCGGCGACAGCAGUAUGAUGACCAGGUUGAUGACUUUGUUUGACAAGCUGAGGAGUGGUGCAUGG
rnacentral:rRNA from 1 species